GGCAUCGGCGAGCGCUCGGCUCGUGACGGACGGCGUUCGCGUCGCCCGCACAGUCGGUCGCCGCCGCGUGUCGAACGCGUGCACUUCUCCUCUUGUAGGACGUCGCGAUCCGUUGGGUGCCGGUCUAAGGCCCGCGGUGGAGCCCGUGCGAGCGUUUCGGCGUCUCGUGCGGACCCGCGGUGUCCCGGCCGGCUCGCCCGACGGUAUGCUUGUGGCGCUGGGCCGCGAUUCGUUCGCGUCCGGCCCGGUGCAAGUGCGGACUACGUUGUGGAAUUCGGACCUAGUGCCGGAUCCGCGCCAGUCCGCCUGUUGGCGCCGGUGCCCUCGGACGGUCCAGAUGAGCGCCGAUCGGCGACGCUAUAGCUUUGGGUACUUUCAGGACCCGUCUUGAAACACGGACCAAGGAGUCUAGCAUGUGCGCGAGUCAUUGGGACUAGCGAAACCUAAAGGCAAAAUGAAAGUGAAGGCACGCUUUAGCGGGCCGAGGGAGGAUGGGUCGCGUCACGACGCGGCCCCGCACUCCCGGGGCGUUUCGUUCUCAUUGCGAGAUGAGGCGCACCCAGAGCGUACACGCUGGGACCCGAAAGAUG
rnacentral:rRNA from 1 species